rnacentral:sRNA from 1 species
GAUGAAUUGGUCAUGUACUUCUGUCAGUUUGAUGAAGGUG